rnacentral:SRP_RNA from 2 species
CGAGGGGCCCUCGCAAUGGGGACCUGCGAACCUGGUCAGGGACGAAAGUCAGCAGCCAUAAGCAGUCAUCCUCAUGUGCUGUGGGCCUCUCGUCG